UCAAUUUUAAUAUGUCACAUUGUUCAACAGAAAAGAGACUUAUUCUGCUUUUAUUAUAUACUGUAUUGUGAAUCAUGAAAACCUUUAAAAACUGGGAAAAAAUGUUUCUUUCACAGGUUAUACCAUUACCAAAGAUGUCUGGAAUGAUUAAUGAGAUCAUUUAAAUUCUAUGUCUGGAUUUCACUUAAUCUUUCUGCCAAAGAAAUCCAGAGUUAGGCUGCAAAUUGUGCUUCUGGGUGUUCUUAAGGCAGAUCUUCUGUUUUUUGACCAGACUCAUUUCAGUUUCCUGUAUGGCCAGCUGCUCAAGUGUACUGCCAUCAUCCAUCAACUCCACAUGUCGAAACUAACAAAAGUGAAUUGCUCUCAGCAUUGCUUCCAAACUGGUAGCUGGCUGACAUCCAGCUGCUCUUCGUUGGUGAUUUUGUAUGCUAACAUCCCAUAGGGUUUCAACUAAAUUAUCACAGUAACCUCCAUCUCAGAAUGUUUUUCUCUGCAAACUAAUACAAAGGAUAUAAAACAUGGAAAAUAUGUAAGCGUCAGAACUCCACUACAGUGCUGAAGUGUCCUAUGGCAGCCUCCUAAGUCCCAAGGAAACACUGAGAAACUACUAUUACACUGUGGAGUAAAUGGGUUAGAAGGUGAUUUGGGUAGCUUUUUGUUUUGUUUUGUUUUUGUUGUUGUUGUUGUUUGCAAUGGGUAAUAAAUGUGCAAAAUAACUUAUUUUUAAAAGCUGUUCCUAGAAGCUUUUUCAUGAUUUUUGUUUGUCUGUAAUCAUGCAGUCUAAAGUCUCCAACUGAAUUAAACAUCCCAGAACCACUUUAAUGAUUCAGGCUAGAAAGGAAAAAAUUUCAGAGUUUAAAUUCUGUUUCAAUAUGAUGACUCCUGAGAAUUUUAUUGACCUUGCUGGACCUUUUGGAAUUUGAGUUCAUUUAUAAUCAAACUAGAAAAAAAUGUUUUGAAAUGCUAUUUAGACGCUCAAAAGAAUUAUUGGACCCUGAAUAACUUUCAUUACAUGACAUUUUGAUAAGGUCAUUGUAAAUGAGUCAGAAACACGGAUUACAUUUCUUUUAAAAAUACACAUCGUUUCACGACCGAUUUGGUCCAAAUUCGUUUUGGCUUUUGCUGAAUCCCAAGUGUUUUUCCUUCUAUUUUUUUCUCUUUAAAUUCUCCAAUAAACUCGCUAAACCCAUAAUCUAGGUGAGCUCACCUGCCUCACUUCCCUGUUGAGUUUUGCCUCGGGCUUUUCUUUAAUAGCAUGUAUCCUUAGAGCACAGAGUCUUAUACUGAGAAUCAGGAGAAGCACAGAGUCUAAUAAAAGCAUGGGAAUUUUUUUUUCCCUUUUAAACAGAGAGAGCUCUAAGGGAAUGAUAUUGUUCCAGAGUACUGACUCAAAUCUGUUCUGUAUUUGAACUCUGUGAUUAUGAAAUUUCAAUUAAAUCUAUAAAAAGCCAAGCUAACAGACACCAGAGCAUGCCAAAGAAAAACAGGAUGUUCUUUUUUGAUUGGGAAAUAAUUAUCUAAGUUCGAUGGCUGGGUCCAGGUAGCUGAGUUUACAUUUGCUUCCCCUCAUUAUAGAAACAGUUGAAUUAUGAUAAAUUUUCCCCAAGCAGCAAAGCUGUCAUUCAAAAGGGUGAUUUUAUUGGGGUGCAAAAUCCCUUUAGUUAUUGCUUUAGUCCAUUUUUAAAUGGAUUUGAAGCCUGAGGGGAAAGUCCAAAUUAAGACGGAUUUUUCUCUUUUAUGAGACAAACCUAGCUUGUCCUUUGUGUUGCAGCCACUGUAGCACAGGUAGGGCACUCAUCUGCCAGAAAAGUCUUCUGUUAUCUCAUUCAUUACAGAAGUGAGAUGUAAACACCCCGAAUUCUCUUCUUUCUCAAAAAUCAUUACACUGAUCAUAUUAUGUUUUCAACAAUGGAAUGAAUUUCCUUAAACAUUUAUUACUUAGCGAUGGAAAUAAUACAGGUUCAGUUUUGAGGUAAAGGAGAAAGGCACUCAAAAAUGUUUGGUUUGCAGAAAUGUGGUAAAAUUUGCAUCUUCCAUACCUUCACCUUAGGGGUGGAUGGGAGAGAGAGUACAACCUUUUAAAAUUUGAGAAAAUAACUCUUUCAAAAAAAUUUUUCAAAUCUGAGCACUCUCCACAAAUAGUUUAUUGUGAAUGAUUCUGAAGAUAUAAUAGGCAUAAACAUUCUGUUUAAAAUAAACUAAGGAAUUAUAUGGUAAUUACUUAAGAUCUCAAAAUGAUUCAACAGGAUUAUAACCGAAUAAAAUAUUUAUAUAUUACAAGCACCAUUUGAACUAGAUAAUAUAAUGGAAAAGAAACCAAAAUCACAUAUGGUUACACUCUUCUAGACAGUCACUGACAAUAGACAUAAUCUCUUUAGGAGAAAUGAGGUUAUUUUUUUUUCUUUCUUUUUUUUGCCAUUAAGGAAAUAACAACUUAAAACAUAUUUUAGGAAUAGAUCUCCUAUUGUCAAGAACUAAGUUUAACUUUUAUUUAUAAUAUCCAUUACAGUAUAAUUUAAAAUAAUAAUUCUAGGUUAAAUAAGGAUUUCGAUAAGUAUACCAUAUAGUAUGUGUGCAAUACAGACAAAUUGCAUGUGUUUUAGACAAUGGUAUAUAUCUUUCCUAUCUCUUGUCCAAUUUCUUCUUAUACUUGAUUGAUUGGAGGACAACUGCUAUAGUUUUGUUUAGAUCUUGAAUGCUUAUUAUUAUUAUUAUUAUUAUUAUUAUUACUAUUAUUUUUGUAAUCUAAUAAAUUCAU